rnacentral:tRNA from 1 species
GGAGUUGUAGCUCAGUGGUAGAGCACUUACUUUGCAAGUGUGAGGUCCUGCAUUCAAUUCUA